rnacentral:lncRNA from 10 species
CAAAGAUUUACUAUUAAAAAUCCUGGGGAUGAGGUCUUAACACAGAAAACCCAUCUGUCGUCGCUACAGAGGACUACUAUGAAGAAAGCGCCUGGCAUAAUCUUGGCACAUCGAAGGCAUUCAAAAAAUACCAGUCGUCUCUCUUCACUCCCUCUAACUCUAACUCAUUUUAACCUCAUUUAAACUUUGAGGAAAAAGAACUCAAGGUCAGACAAGGCUUGGUUCAACACCCUGAGCUGGGUUGGCUUGACAGGACUAGCACUAGACCUGACCCAGAGGUAAAGGCAAUUGUGGGAAGAGCGGACGGACCUGGGAAGAAAUCUAGAAGCCAACGAGCAGAACACCAAAGCUUGUCACUGGGCAACAGAGAACUGGUCCAACAAAGCUGUCACCAUCAGAAAUGUGUGUCACCAGGUCAGAGAAACAGGAAAUCAAGGAAAGACAGAAGAGAGAAAAAAAGAAAAGAGAAAGCAGAAAUGUGGGUUUUGCUGCAAAGAAAUACCAAAAUUGUUUCCAAUCAGUCAAAGUGAAUCAUCUGUCUACCAACAUGCCUCAUUUUUCAUUGUCUAUAGUGGUGUCCACAGCUAGCUGACACUUCACAUGAAGAUUGAAGAAGAAUAAAUUUCAUUUUAAAUAC